rnacentral:lncRNA from 1 species
GCAGAGCUCGAAUUUGGAUUUGCUCUGGAGUAGCCAUCGGAUCUGUCUCAACUUGAGUGUUCUGUUUCUUUAGAUUGCGCAAGGUCUUGUUGAUUUCAGGGUCAAACUCAAAGAGAGGAUUUCCGUGAGAUCGUGUGUUCAUAUGCAACCUACAGAAACAGCAAAAAGAUCAGAAAAGAAAAAUAAAAAAAAAAAAAAACUUGCAGUACUAUAAAGUCCUAUUGGAAAUAUUAAAGCAAAAUCUAAACAGUCCCCGGCAACGGCGCCAAAAAGUUGAUCACUAUUUUAUUAGCAACAAAAAUACCGCAACUAACACGGUGUAAUCGUAGCACAGAAAUAGCAAGCAGAGUAUCGUAUCCACAGAGACUGUAAAACGAAAUCACUCUAUCUACUUCCUAAACAGACUCUCACAGUAUGCAAGUGAAACGAUUAUGAAGGAAAGUUUAAU